rnacentral:rRNA from 1 species
CGGGUGAGUACACGUGAGUAUCUGCCCUCAGCUUCGGGAUAAGCAUCCGAAAGGGUGUCUAAUCCCGGAUAUGCCAGCUCUCCGCAUGGGGUGGUUGUGGAAAGUUUUUUCGGCUGGGGAUGUGCUCGCGGCCUAUCAGCUUGUUGGUGGGGUAAUGGCCUACCAAGGCUUUGCCGGGUAGCCGGCCUGAGAGGGUGCCGGUCACCUGGGACUGAGACACGGCCCAGACUCCUACGGGGGGCAGCAGUGGGGGAUAUUGGACAAUGGGCGGAAGCCUGAUCCAGCAACGCCGCGUGAGGGAUGNCGGCCUUCGGGUUGUAAACCUCUUUCUCCAUUGACGAAGCUCUUCGGGGUGCGG